rnacentral:rRNA from 1 species
UACGGAGGGUGCAAGCGUUGUCCGGAUUUAUUGGGUUUAAAGGGUGCGUAGGCGGCCCUUUAAGUCAGUGGUGAAAGCCUCCAGCUCAACCGGAGAACUGCCAUUGAUACUGACGGGCUUGAGUACAGACGAGGUUGGCGGAAUUGAUUGUGUAGCGGUGAAAUGCAUAGAUACAAUCAAGAACUCCGAUUGCGUAGGCAGCUAACUAGGCUGUAACUGACGCUGAGGCACGAAAGCGUGGGGAGCGAACAGG